UUUUCUGCCAUCAUUCUAUUUCAUGCAGGAUUGACAUGAGACUUGGUUUGAUUAUUCUCAGGACAAGAGGCCAACUUGCGGUUACAUUGUGUUCUGUGUCCGUGCCCGUGGAAAAAACUGGGAGGAAAUGAAAGAUAUAUUUUUCAAGAACAUGGAAAGAAGUGGAUAGCUGUCACUGAUUAAGGCAAUACAACACAGGAACAACAAAACGCCUGUAAAUUUACCCACAUGGAAAAGGAAUUCUCUGCAGGAACAUACAAAGAUUUCCCAGAUGACACACAGAUCCAUUUCCUUCUCUUGCAUCAUGCAGCCUCUAAAGUAUAUGCUUUCACCUAGAACAAGCGACUCCCUUUUUUCACUGCUUGAGAACAUAUGAUAUUUCA